rnacentral:rRNA from 1 species
UCUGNUCUGUCACUGACGCUGAGGCUNGAAAGCGUGGGUAGCGAACAGGAUUAGAUACCCUGGUAGUNCACGCCGUAAACGAUGAGUGCUAGGUGUUAGGCCCUUUCCGGGGCUUAGUGCCGGAGCUAACGCAAUAAGCACUCCGCCUGGGGAGUACGACCGCAAGGUUGAAACUCAAAGGAAUUGACGGGGGCCCGCACAAGCGGUGGAGCAUGUGGUUUAAUUCGAAGCAACGCGAAGAACCUUACCAGGUCUUGACAUCCCGAUGCUAUUCUUAGAGAUAGGAAGUUACUUCGGUACAUCGGAGACAGGUGGUGCAUGGUUGUCGUCAGCUCGUGUCGUGAGAUGUUGGGUUAAGUCCCGCAACGAGCGCAACCCUUAUUGUUAGUUGCCAUCAUUAAGUUGGGCACUCUAGCGAGACUGCCGGUAAUAAACCGGAGGAAGGUGGGGAUGACGUCAAAUCAUCAUGCCCCUUAUGACCUGGGCUACACACGUGCUACAAUGGUCGGUACAACGAGUUGCGAGCCGGUGACGGCAAGCUAAUCUCUGAAAGCCGAUCUCAGUUCGGAUUGGAGGCUGCAACUCGCCUCCAUGAAGUCGGAAUCGCUAGUAAUCGCGGAUCAGCACGCCGCGGUGAAUACGUUCCCGGGCCUUGUACACACCGCCCGUCACACCACGAGAGUUUGUAACACCCGAAGUCGGUGAGGUANCCUUUUAGGGGCCAGCCGC